AGCCAUUCUAAUCUGGCUUUUUACAAUAGUGAAAGUGACCAAUAAGCAAAUUGGAAGAGAUUUCAAGUUGUUGAAACAUUCUGUUGUGAAUCUUCUGGAGGGACAAAAUGGGAGAAUGAGAGACUAGGAUUCCCAUCCGGCUGCAAGGAGGGACUGUAUCCCCUACAGACGUACAAGCUGCUGUGUGCGUGCAUCGCAGUAUACAUACACAUUCUUUUAAAGAAAAUUCAUGAAUUAAUCAGGUGUGUUACAGGAGCCUAUAGAGAGUUAAAAUUAUGAUUAAUACCUGAGCAACUUAAUAGGUUUACUUUAUCAGACUGUAUAGAGAAAUAUUAAAGUUACUAGUCUAUCUUUAGGAGUGGUCACAACUAUUCAACUUAAACCUUGAGUCUUUACUAUGUACUUCCAGAACAAAUCAAAACAGUGAAUCAAAAAAAACUGUUAAGCUGAUUUCACAUAACCUCUAAAGUGAAAGAAACACAAAUUACUCUUAAAUAGGAAGAGUUUUCAACUUUUACUUGUUGGCAAAUGGAGAAAGGCAAGAAUGUUUUAGUGAGCUCGGUAUUGUUUUUAUUUAUGGGUUCUGUGUUUCAGUCUUAGACGUCACAAAACCAUGAAGUUUUUAUGAUAUUUUAUAAAUGUUUGACAGAAAUUACAUCAGUGAAGGCAUUUCGAUGAAAAUGAUGUUUUACUUUGUUAUCUUUAAACUGAUUCCUUAAAGUGAAUGGAAAAAGAACAGAGAAGUCUGCAAAAAUACAAAUAAAAAACUCUACGCUCCUGAUUUCAAGACAGAACUUAGAUUAUAGGAGGUAUUGGCUAUGUUAUUUUUUAAUUUUGAAUUAUUCAUUUUACAGAAAGGGAUAAGUUACAAUUUUUGAUCAUUUUUCAUUCUAUUUUAUAGAUUAUUUCAGUAAAUAUUGUCUGUAUGAAAAUUAUUCUAAAACAGAAAAUUCCCCAGAGGCAAAAGAAGAAAAGAGUAGGGGGGUGAAAUUGAAGUUUAUAUAUACAAAAGUUAUCUUAGAAAUGUUUUUAAACCUCCAGUUUCUGCAAAAUAAUUAAAAUAUACAGUAACUGGUCUUAAGAUCCUGAAUUUAAUGUAUCAAAUACUUAUAAAAUUUAUUUAUGUUUGUGCCUUUUUAAAAUGCAUUGAGUGUUGGCUAGCUGUUUAGUUCUACAACACUUGUAUUAUGCAUUUUUAAAAAUCACUUAAAAUUACUAUAUAAUUCAUCUUUGUGUUCUUAGGUCAAAACCAUUAGAGGAAUUUCCCAUACAGAGACUUUCAGCUCAUCUGCUUAAAGUAAAAGAAAGCUUUGAAACCAGAUGUUGCUAUCUUUUUAGUUUGAUAGUAUUUCUGAACACCAUUACAAGAUUAUGCGGGUAGUAUAUGAGGUGGAGGGAAAUUGUAGCUGUGAAUUGCAUUAUGGUAUGGUAUGUAUUUUUGUUUUGUUUUUAAGGAAGAAUAAGUUCUAGUAUCAAACAAGGCUUUAUUAGUGGAAUUUUGAAUCAAUAAAAUACAGUAUUGUUUUGGAAUUUCACCUAUAGUCUAGUGUUCUACUAGUCUUAGAACAUCCUCUUCUAACCUGUUAAUGUUGUGUGGAAUGAUGUAAAGAAGCAGGCCAUUAAUUCUCCUUGAACAAAACAGAAUUGAAGAGUCAUAUCAUAUCGCUAUUCUCCAAAGCAUAAUCUCAAAUGAUUUCCUACCAUGGUUGUGUAUUACUUGCAAGGGAUGUGUUAGAGUAUGACAGCUUUUAAAAAAAAAUGAGCUGCUUGUUAUUCAAAGCAAAUGUCAUAUGACCAAGAAGCUGUGAUAUGCUAGUGUUUCUUUUUAUCAUAGUGUAUUGCUAGGCCAAAUAAUGACACCUAGAAUAUUUUUACAUUUAUUGCAGAAACCUAAAAUUUUGGAAUUUCCAUAAGGUUUUUUAUGUAACAUUAUAUUUCUAGCUUUUUAGUUUUCUCUUGCUGUACUGUAAGUUUGUGGGUAUUUUUCACACACACUCUUUGAAAAUAAGUUCCUAAUUCUGUUUAUGGGGUUUUUCUCCCAUAACAUUGCAUUUGUAUAUUUUCUGUAUAAAUUUAUUGUGAAUUAACCUGUAUCCCAUACAGAGUGGUACGUGAAUGACUAGUUUUCUAAGAUGUCCUUUUUGUGAAUAAAAUAUAAAAUUUAGAGGCCCUCUGCUAAGCCACAUAAAGUACAGCAUAAAACUUCUUAUAGGUUUCGAUAAGCCAGUUUGCAGUUAAUCUGGCCCUUUAAAUUACCUCAAGUGACACACAGUAAGAAAAGCUUCUUCAAUGGGUGGAGGUCACUGAUUCCCCAACUAUGCACUUACCAGGAUUCUACUUAAUUUACUGGAAAUGGAUUUUUUUUUUUUUCAUGAAUACACUGUAACAAGGGAAAGACUCUGGGUUUUGUUUUUUGUUAUUCUUUUGUGUUUUUGUUUUUUUUUAAGUAGUUCAGUUUCUGAAACUGUGAUAAAACAUUUUGACUUGUCAAGUAUACUCUUGGAUGUUGAACAUAAAUCACGUCCCCUUGUGUGUAUCGAAGUUCUUUGUGAUCUCUUAAAUUUUGCCUGCUUUCACCACCUCCUUUCUUUUUUCUGUCCAUGUUCCCUCCAUCAUUGUCUCUGCCUCUCUUUCCCCCUACUAGUUUGAGGAUUAGGUCAAGUUUUUAUUUCCAGUUCAUAGGUCUCUUAAGUCUUAAUUUUUUGUGUAUGAUUUUUGUUGGCUGUAUAAUCUGCUGACAUAUUUUUAUAUUCAAGUGUAGUUUUCUAUUUUUUUAAAAAGUAGUUGAAUUAAAAUGAGUAAGGUAUAUAACCCUUGUGUUACUUUCACUUUCAAAUAUUGGGCAUCUAAAAUAUGACUUCAGAAAUUAUGUAAUCAUAAGAACAUGAUAUGUUUCCUUCCUUUCUUGCUGGAUUUUAUGUUCUGAUUUGGUUGUUCUCCUAAAAUGCGUGUUAUGAGAGAUUAAACAAUUUUUUUGCAAGAAUUUAGAAAGAUGUUAAAAAUCUAAAGCAAAAAGUCUUAACUAUCUCCCAGCUGGGAGAAAAUGCUUUAACAUUACUAUAAUAAUAUUCCAGGUUUGGAGUGGGUUCUCCAGGCUCCCCAUUUGCUCUUAAUAGUUGAACCUUUUAGACCAUGUGUUAUUUGCAGUCCCAGAGCGAUUGCUUCUGCUACUUAGUUUAAAAGAUGUUUUUCUUUACUUUCUGUACAAGUGCAAUACUUUCCUUGAAGUCUUAAAAACGAUGGUUAUUUUUUUUAUUCUUUCUUUAGUUAAAAACAAAAAGAAACCCUUGAAAAUUAUGGUAUGUUAAAGGACACAACAAGCAAAAAGAAAAACACACCACAGUCAAAAGAUUAGAGAAUGUGGAAACCACUGGUCUAAUCUCAUGGUAUCUUUAUUUAGACUAAAUUUUUGUUGAAAUUAGUAAUCUUUAGCCUGAGAAAUGUAUCCUAAAGUUGAAAUUCUUAGAGACUGAAUUUUUUUUCUUAGACCGUUGUCCAGUGUUUUAAAUUAAGAACCUAAUAUUUUUUUCUAUUUCUCUUUUCUCCUUUGGAAAUGAACUUUAAAAUAAAAGUAAAGCACUUAGCUCAAUUUUAAACACUUAUCACCUAUUGGAGAAAAUUUUUAAGAAAUAUUUGGAGCACUCCUGUUUUCAUACAACUUAAGUAAGAGAUAUUUUUCAUAUCCUACGUAUUUAUAUGUAGCAUUCUGAUUUUCUUUUUUUAUAUCUGUGUCCCUGUAGUAAAACUGCUGUAAUGUAAAUACAUAUUUUGAUUAAAAAGAUAACAUUUCUUUGGCAUUUUUUUAAAAGGCAGUUACUGCAUUUGUACAGUAUAUGUCUUGGCCAUUUUAGAAUUUUUUUUUCUUUAACAAUACCAAAGGUAAUUAGACUACUUUAAAAACUAAUUGCUUAGACAGUUUCUAGGAUAUUUUAAGUUUUAGAAGCGAAAAGAAAAGAUAGGUCAAACCAGUAAACCUCAUUUUUUUUCAAACUAAUAAUUUGGGAAAAUAAAAACUAUUGUUUAAAAAAGAUAUAUAUAUAUAUAUAAAUAUAUAUGUAAAAUUAAAAUUCCAGACCUUGUAUGUCAGGUUUGCUCAGUGUAAUGUAGUUUUUUUAAGGCUCAAAUACCAUACCUCAGAAAAUGAGGUUUACUAUGGAAAUACUGAAACAGUCUUUGCAGUUGUGUGACAAGUCACCCUGCUAUACACCAAUUUGGAGACCUCCACUAACAGUUCUAUCACUGCAGACUAAAAUGUGGGACUUGUAUUUCAUUUGUUUUUAAUGCACACACAUACAUGUUCUGUGCAUGUAUGUGGGUAUUGUGUAUACGUGUAUGAGUGUUGUAAUAUGCAUGUGUGAGUGUGUGUUUGUAUGUGAGUACAACUAAAGAAGCUGCAGAAACUUUGUAAUACUUUGUGAAAAGGAUUAUAUUAUAAAGGUUUGUACUGUCUGAGUGCACAGCUACUGGAAUAAAUUUAGGGAAUCUCAGGAACAAGCAUAUAAUUUGUCCAAGAUUUAUUUCUUCUCAGAAGUGUAAGUGCAGUUUUUAAUUCUGUAUAUUAUUUAAUAUUUUACCAAUAAAAUAAACUUCUGACAUAAAAAGUUUGCUAUAAAAACUUUCUGGUGAAAAUUCUGUACACAAGCA
ensembl:lncRNA